rnacentral:lncRNA from 1 species
GUGACUUUGUCCUUAGGAGGUGGAAUCUGGUUGAAAGAAGCUGGUCACUGGACUUGUGCCCUGGAAGGAUACAUCUCCCUCCCUGUAGCCUUCUUUUCUCUGCUUUCUGGCUGCCAUGAUGUGAGCAGCUUUCCUCCACCAGACCUUUCCACCGUACUGGCUGACCAUGCAAGGACUGAAACUUCUAAAAUGCGAGUCAAAAUACACCUCUUCUAAGUCAUGGAUGUCAGGUAUAGGAAAGUGGUUACCAUUGCUUGAUGCCAUGAUUUACAUUUCACUUCCGGCAGCGUAUCUCUGGCACCAGACUGAGGCAUCUUUUCUGCAGAUACUAUGUUAUGGUUUGGAUCAACAAUGUACCCCAAAGCCUUCAUGUGCACAUAAGUGGAGCUUUUGGAAGACGACUGAAUCCUGGGGUCAGUACAGCUGAUACUUGCUGUUAGGAAGUGGAUUCCGCUUAGAAGAUGAGGUGGGGUGAGUCACUGGGAGAAUGAUCUGAACAUGUACAUCUCCCUCCCUGCAUCCUUCCUUCACUUUGUUUCCUAGUUGCUAGGAUGUGAGCAACUUUCUUCUGCCAGACUUUGACAUGCUGUUUCUGCCUUGGAGCCAGACAACCACAAACUGUGACCCCAAUUAGACCUUUCCUCAUUUAAGUUGUGGGUAUUAUAUAUUUCUCCCCAAAAUAAGAAUAGCUGAGAUAUAUCUUGGUACCAGAGGGGUGGGGUUGUUGCUGCAACUAGCUGACCAUGUGAUUCAGAAGCUUCUGAAACUGGCUUGUGUGAGGAGCUUAGAAAGGUUUGGCGAUGCUGGCUAGAGAAGCCCUAGAAUGCUCCAGCUAAGUAAGCUUGAUGGGAGAUUCAGGUCAGAGAUCCAAACCAGAAUACCAAUAGUAAUAUAGACAGUAAAGACCUGGCUGAGGUGGUUUCACUUGGGAAUAAAGACUCCAUUGACAGUUGUUAUACUUUGGCAGAAACUUUGUGUACAUUUUGUGUAUGUUGUAGAACUUUACAGAAGACUGAGAUUAGGGGCAGCGUACUAAUAUGGCAGAGGAAACUUCAAGGCAGCCCAGUGUUCAGACUGUGUCACGGGUGUUGCUGGUGGCUUUAAACCAUAUCUAUAUUAAGAAUCAAGGGCAAAUGACAUCACUGAAUGACUUAAAGUUUCACCAGAAAUGAAGCCCUUGUGUGAAGUUGGGGUCUGUAAAAUUUUGGCUCAGGAC